AACAAACGCUGGCGGCAUGCCUAACACAUGCAAGUCGAACGAGAUCUUCGGGUCUAGUGGCGCACGGGUGCGUAACGCGUGGGAAUCUGCCCUUUGGUUCGGAAUAACAGUUGGAAACGACUGCUAAUACCGGAUGAUGACGAAAGUCCAAAGAUUUAUCGCCAGAGGAUGAGCCCGCGUAGGAUUAGCUAGUUGGUGUGGUAAUGGCGCACCAAGGCGACGAUCCUUAGCUGGUCUGAGAGGAUGAUCAGCCACACUGGGACUGAGACACGGCCCAGACUCCUACGGGAGGCAGCAGUGGGGAAUAUUGGACAAUGGGCGAAAGCCUGAUCCAGCAAUGCCGCGUGAGUGAUGAAGGCCUUAGGGUUGUAAAGCUCUUUUACCCGGGAUGAUAAUGACAGUACCGGGAGAAUAAGCUCCGGCUAACUCCGUGCCAGCCGCCGCGGUAACAC
rnacentral:rRNA from 1 species